CAAACACAUCCACACGCGCUCCGCCUGGAUCACACACUGAGCCACUCGAACAUGCGAAUGCAUUCCUUCCUUCCUUCUCACUGUCUCAGACUUUGACUUCUACAAGCCCAUGGAACAUUUCUGGAACACGCUCUUGAUCCAGCAGGGUGGCCCGUCGGCUGCAGAGCGCUCCGCUGAGCGCCGGGACGGUUUGUGCCUCGCCGCCAGACACUGACCAUGACCAUGACCCUCCACACCAAAGCCUCCGGCAUGGCCUUGCUGCACCAGAUCCAGGCGGGCGAGCUGGAGCCCCUAAAC
rnacentral:lncRNA from 1 species